GCACCUUCCGAACAGGCGCUUAGUGAAAUCCUUGGCGGAAAAAAUAGGACGCCGCGCCGCGAAAUGUAGAAGGAGGUAUUGACUUGUGAUUUCUAGCUUUUCCUGGGAGUAAACUAAAUUAUCCCUUGACGACAACGUGAAUUGAAUCAUCUUAGUAACGUUGAGCAAAAUCAAACGAGACACCGUUAUUAGCGGCGAGCGAAAGCGGUAGAAGCUUAACACUUAAAUUUAAUCUCAUAAGCUAACUAGCACCGUAGAAGGUAAAAGUCCUGUAGUGGGUUUAAACUUUUGUGAACUAAAAGUAACGUGGUGUACCUGCGUGAAUAAAGGAGAACCACCUUCUAAGCUGUUUCAAACUUUUCCGACCGAUAGUAAACGAGUAUUGUAAAAAAAAGGUGAAAAAUCCCAGAAGGGUAGUAACUGAAACUGAGUGCCUAUAAUUUUUCGAAGUUUAAUUUACAACGAAGUGCCUUUUGCAUAAUGAGUCAGUAAGUUAUCGAGCGUAGCAAGUUUAAGUAAUCAUAUGUAAACCAAUAAGUAACGCUUGCUAAACCUGAAACCGAGUGAUCUAGUUGCGAGCAAGUUGAAGACUCGUUACCGCGUUUCUGAGGACUGAACCCACGUGUGUAGCAAAACACGGGGAUGACUUGUAGCUAGGAGCGAAAGACUAAUCAAACUCGGCGAUAGCCGGUUUUUCACGAAAUGUAUUUUAGUACAGCGUUGGUUGAAGUAAACUUUGUGUAGAGUACAAAGCUAAGUGAAGGGGUCCUAAAAGCUUACUAAACUUGAUUUAACUCCCAAGUGCAGUUUAACUUUACGCCAGCAGACAGUCUUUGAGCGAUAAGGUCCAAAGACGAGAGGAAAACAAUCCAGAUCGUAUACUAAGAUCUUGAAAUUACAACUCAGUGAAGAAGUUUUGUUAAGGAGUCAAAUAAAAUAGGGUAGGCUUAGAAGCAGCCUUCCAUCAGAGAAAGCGUUUUAGCUCGUUAUUUUCUCCUUUAGAAUCUAAAAUAAAGAAGACUUAAGUUGUAUAUCGAAGUAAAAUGGUAGUGAAACGUUUUGUGUAUGCCUGUUGGUUGUAAAACCAACAAUGCUAAAUCAAAAGUGCUAAUGCUGACAUGAGUAGCGUCAAUUGUGUUGUAAUCACAAUCACCUUAUGUUCAAGGGUUUCAACGUAACUUCAAGUGCGUUGAGUUAGUCGGUCCUUAAGAGGUGGGUGAAAACCGUACUCGACAGGAAAUUAUACAACCGUCUAUAUGUAGUAAGAGACUUACUAUGGAAAAAAUAAAAGUAAACUUGUCGAAAAACAUUUGUCACGGCAAGGUGAUGAGUUCUACUUUUGUUUUCAAGAAAAAAUUAUAGAAAUUAAAGACCGUACCUAAACCGACACUGGUGGACUUGUCGACAAGAUUAAGGUGUAUGGAAAAAUCGUAUUUAAGGAACUCGGCAAAUUGACUUCGUACGUUCGCAAUAAGAAGAACCACAAUCUAGUGGUAACAUUAAAUAAAGAAUAACGACUGGUUAUCAAAACCACAGGACUCUGCAAAUUUAUUAAAAAGUAUAGAGUCUGACGCCUGCCCAGUGCUUAAAAAAGACGAGCUUUAGUUUUUAGCUAAAGUUUUAAUUCUAAGUAAACGGCGGUUCUAACUAUAAGAAUCCUUAGGUAGCGAAACUCCUUGACGGGUAAAUUCCGUCCUGCAUGAAUGGCGUCACGAUUGUUCUACUGUCUUAAAUACGAAUCCAGCGAAAUUACAUAACCUAUGAAAAUGUAGGUUGCUUGCAGCAAGACGGAAAGACCCUAGAUCCUUUACUUCAUUUUCAUAUUGCGAAGGCUGUUUUACUACGUAGAAUAAGUGGGAGCAUAAAUGGCGUCUCUGAAAUACCACCUUGUACUGCUGCGCUCCGCUUACUUUUAAGUACCAAACUAAUAAGGACCGUAUGAAAAAGGAAGUUUACUUGGGACGAGUGUCUCCUAAAUUGUAACGGAGAUGCACGAAGGUAGCUUUUAAUCGUUUCAAUUGAAUCGUAACGCGUAAUGGUAUAAAACUGCUUGACAAUCAGACCGAUAGGUCAAGUUGGGACGAAAGUCAGUCAUAGUGACCCGAUACUUGAGAGUGGAAUCAGUAUCGUUCAACAGAUAAAAGGAACUCUAGGGAUAACAGAUUCAUCGUGACUGAGAGCUCUUAUCGAUGUCACGGUUUGAUACCUCGAUGUCGACUCAUCUUAUCCUGGAAUUGAAGCAGAUUCCAAGGGUCUAGUUGUUCGCUAGUGAAAAAGAUACGUGAGUUGGGUUCAGAACGUCGUGAGACAGUUCGGUCCCUAUCUGCUGUUAGCAACGAAAAAAAGAAAAAUUUACUUUUAGUACGAGAGGACCAAAGUAUUUCAACCAAUGGUGACCCGGUUGCUAUGCCUUUAGCACUGUCGGAUAGCUACGUUGACUUGUAUUUAUGUGCUGAAAGAAUCAAAAGCACCAAAACUAUUUUUCAUUUUUCAAGAAUGAUCUAGAAGACGACUAGACUGAUCGGCUCGGUGACUGAGCUCAGUAAUGAGUUGCUUCAAACGAGUACGAAAAUCAUUCAGCGAAGGCUC
rnacentral:rRNA from 1 species